rnacentral:tRNA from 1 species
UCCCUGGUGGUCUAGUGGUUAGGAUUCAGUGCUUUUACUGCUGUGGACUGGGUUCAAUCCCUGGUCAGGGAA